rnacentral:lncRNA from 1 species
AGUUAGCAGGAGGCCUCCAUGAACCCAUGAAUCCUCCCAUCCUGGCCUCCAGUGCGCUCUGGCUCUGCCACCCUCCAAUUUGGAACUAAGAAAUAACAAGAGUGCCGGCCUGUGCCUAUGCUGAUGGGCGGAGAAGGUUGAGUGCUGAGCAUGCCAGUAAGCCAGGAGAGGCCCAGUACAUCAGCCACUGAGGAGUGGAUGCCUUCUGCCAUGUCCUGGCUCAAAGCUAUUAGCUGGCAGGUGGCCCGGGGACUGAGACUACCAGAGGAGGGGUCAGAGCCACCAGGGAGGAAGAUUUGGCCUGCCAAAUGUGUAGAAUGGUGGUGAGGAGGCAGGACCUGGGUAGGGGGGCGGGGCUGGGUGGAAGUCUGAGGCAGGAAGAGAUAGGUUAUCUGGCAGACAGUGCCAGUACACUGAAAUCCAUGUCAGGGUGUGGCCUAGGGCAGCAGGGAAGAGGAGAAAGGUCAGAGUAGGUGAGGUCGGUUGGUGCAGUGGUGUGGUAGGGUUGGCAAGAAAAUCAUGGUGCAGCUCUCUUUGCCUGGAGUAGCAACAAAUAAGGGGGACCAAGCUGUAUGGUGAACCUUGCAAUCCUGGUGGAAUAAGAGGACCAGGAGGGUUUAAAGGUUUAAAAAUGGUUUCAGGCUGACCCCAGUGCCUUAGGGUGUGGGGCAGACCAAGGAAACCAACCAGGUGUGUAGAGAGGGGAGUACGUGUCAGUGGUGUUCUCAGGCCUGUGCUACCCAUUUCCUGGGAUGGAAAGCAGUGUCUAUGGACAUCUGGGAAGAAUGGGGACAUGGGCUCAUCCAGGACUUGGGGAGGUCACUUCCAUUCUCCUACCCCCAUCACCCUCAGAAUCCUGAAGAAGC